rnacentral:tRNA from 1 species
GCGUGAGUAAUUCAAUGGCUAGAAUGCCGGCCUUCCAAGCCGAUAAUCCGGGUUCGAAUCCCGGCUCGCGCA